rnacentral:tRNA from 1 species
GGAAGUGAUCCGAAUGGUUAGGAAGCCGCCUCGAAAGCGGUCGCCCCUUGCGGGGUUGCAAGUUCGACUCUUGUCACUUCCG